rnacentral:rRNA from 1 species
GACGAACGCUGGCGGCGUGCUUAACACAUGCAAGUCGAACGAAGUGGCGGACGGGUGAGUAACGCGUAAUCAACCUGCCCUUCAGAGGGGCACAACAGUUGGAAACGACUGCUAAUACGCCAAACUGAAGGAGGAGAUUGCGUGGGAUUAGCUGGUUGGGGGGGUAACGGGCCACCAAGGCGAUGAUCAGUAGCCGGGCUGGGAGGGUGAACGGCCACACUGGGACUGAGACACGGCCCAGACUCCUACGGGGGGGAGCAGUGGGGAAACUUCCCCAAUGGGGGAAAAUCUGACGGAGCAACGCCGCGUGAGUGAUGACGGGCUUCGGGGUGUAAAGCUCUGUUAAUCGGGACGCGGUACCGGAAUAGAAAGCCACGGCUAACUACGUGCCAGCAGCCGCGGUAAUUC